rnacentral:rRNA from 1 species
GUAGUCCACGCCCUAAACGAUGAGUACUAGUUGUUGGGAUUCCUAAUUGUCUCAGUAACGAAGCUAACGCAUUAAGUACUCCGCCUGGGAAUUACGGUCGCAAGAUUAAAACUCAAAGGAAUUGACGGGGGCCCGCACAAGCGGUGGAGCAUGUGGUUUAAUUCGAUGCUACGCGAAAAACCUUACCCAGACUUGACAUCCCGGGCUAUCCCUAGAAAUAGGGAGUUCUCUUAGGAGACCCGGUGACAGGUGCUGCAUGGCUGUCGUCAGCUCGUGUUGUGAGAUGUUGGGUUAAGUCCCGCAACGAGCGCAACCCGUAUCGUUAGUUACCAUCAUUAAGUUGGGCACUCUAACGAGACCGCUUGCCUAUAAGGCAGA